AUUGAACGCUGGCGGCAUGCCUUACACAUGCAAGUCGAACGGUAACAGGUCUUCGGAUGCUGACGAGUGGCGAACGGGUGAGUAAUACAUCGGAACGUGCCUAGUAGUGGGGGAUAACUACUCGAAAGAGUGGCUAAUACCGCAUGAGAUCUACGGAUGAAAGCAGGGGAUCGCAAGACCUUGUGCUACUAGAGCGGCCGAUGGCAGAUUAGGUAGUUGGUGGGAUAAAAGCUUACCAAGCCGACGAUCUGUAGCUGGUCUGAGAGGACGAUCAGGCACACUGGGGCUGAGACACGGCCCAGACUCCUACGGGAGGCAGCAGUGGGGAAUUUUGGACAAUGGGCGCAAGCCUGAUCCAGCAAUGCCGCGUGCAGGAUGAAGGCCUUCGGGUUGUAAACUGCUUUUGUACGGAACGAAACGGCGAGCUCUAACAUAGCUUGCUAAUGACGGUACCUGAAGAAGAAGCACCGGCUAACUACGUGCCAGCAGCCGCCGUAACAC
rnacentral:rRNA from 1 species